UGCGAAGGGGGCUAGCGUUGCUCGGAAUUACUGGGCGUAAAGCGCACGUAGGCGGAUUGUUAAGUCGGGGGUGAAAUCCUGGAGCUCAACUCCAGAACUGCCUUCGAUACUGGCGAUCUCGAGUUCGGGAGAGGUGAGUGGAACUGCGAGUGUAGAGGUGAAAUUCGUAGAUAUUCGCAAGAACACCAGUGGCGAAGGCGGCUCACUGGCCCGAUACUGACGCUGAGGUGCGAAAGCGUGGGGAGCAAACAGG
rnacentral:rRNA from 1 species